CAUGCAUCCUCAUCUUUCGACUUUCUCACGUUUUGGUGAUUGGUAUCUUUUUUUUCUUCGAACCUUCCGUGUUUGAUUUAUCGCCCUCUUGUUCUUUUGUCCCUUUUAUAUUGCUGGUCCUAAUCUGAUGAAGAAAAUUAAUCAAGAAAUUAGAAUGAUUUUUCUUUAAAUCAGGAUCUUUACAGUUAAUGACUGAUUAUUUCUAUACCGUUUUGGCGUAGCCUUGCUGGGCCGGAUACCCACGAACUGAAU